rnacentral:rRNA from 1 species
GAUGAACGCUGGCGGCGUGCCUAAUACAUGCAAGUCGAGCGAACAGACGCGGAUCUUUCUCCUGUGACGUUAGCGGCGGACGAGUGAGUAACACGUAGAUAACCUACCUAUAAGACUUAGAUAACUUCGGGAAACCGGAGCUAAUGCCGUAUAAUCUAUUGACCCGCAUGGUGCAAUAGUGAAAGACGGUUUUGCUGUCACUUAUAGAUGGAUCCGCUCGGCAUUAGCUAGUUGGUAAGGUAACGGCCUACCAAGUCAACGAUGGGUAGCCGACGGGAGAGGGUGAUAGCCCGCCCUGGAGCGGGGACACGGUCCAUACUCCUAAGGCAGGCAGCAGUAGGGAACCUGACGCAACGGUCGGAAGCAUGGCGGAGCAACGCCGAGUGAGUGACGACGGUCCUCGGAUCGUAAAAACCUGUUACUAGGGAAGAACAAAUGUGUAAGUAAAUAUACACGGCUUGACGGUACCUAAUCAGAAAGCCACGGCUAACUACGUG